rfam:Glycine soja cultivar W05 scaffold2767_32, whole genome shotgun sequence.
UUUUUAUUGAACAUUAACCGUUAUGUAUCACGAUUUUAUUGAGAGUUGGUGGUUGAUGUUAAUUAGAUUUACAAAAUUAACAUCCAAUAAAGUGUAACACGUGAUGAUCAACAUCU